rnacentral:lncRNA from 1 species
AUUCUUCAUUCUGAGCCGUUAAACACGCAAUAAAUUAACGGUGGUCUUGGCAUGUGCAUUUGAGUCUCAGUUUUCCCAGAUAAAAGCAACACACAUAUUUUCCUCCAUCUGGUUUUCUAAAAAAAUGUCGAGAAUACAUUUAAGCGCAUAUAUGAUAGUGCAUAUUGAUAAAUCAGGUCAUAUGGACUUCUGCAAAAACAAAACAUGAAUUCUUUUACAAAAAUACAGAUGGAAUUUUGAAGCCGCACUAACCUUUGAGAGGAAUUACUACUUGAAAUGCCACAUGUAUCACAAUUAACCUUGAAAUUGCUUGGGAAGGGCAAAGUGUACUCUAAAUUAACAUCAAAGCCGUUAUACACGGUAUGGAAUCUUGGAUGCCUGUACUUCAAGGAGACAUGCAUGCCAAGCAAUAUUACAUUCUUCCUAUUGCGAUGAACAUAUUCAUGAGUUUAAAACAAAGACCCUCUAUCAUUCACCCGAAAAGUUCAUAAGGGAAACUAUUGGAAAGAGUACAUUGCAAGAAUGAAGUAUUGGCACCUUAUAUCUAGUAUAGAGCAACUUUUAAUUAAGCACAAACCAAAAAAGGUUGAGUUCGAGAAUAUCAUAAUUAUCAGAAACAACACACACCUGUCUUGUGGACUAAGCACAAAGAAAAUUAGAGACCUAUUGUCAGAUAAUUAAUACUUCUUCUAUUUAUCAUAGAUAUGUGCCAAAUAAUUAACUUUCCAAGUGCUAACCGAGAAGAGAAUACUAAACAUGUUAGCACACUACAUUCAUUUAAUCCUACCUCCACAACAUUAAGGCUUGUUCCCAGAAUUAGCUUCGCCUCGCUAGAAAUGCUUGGUUUUUACAACUAACUAUGCUCGUCAUUGUUCAGUAUUUCAUCAUCAUCAGCCAUUAUAUAUGCACAUAGCGCCAGGACCAAUAAAUACUUCAUCUACAAUCAGCUAUUGUUGACCUCCCCUGAGCAUCCCUUGGAAUCUCAUGAAUGCAUCGCACAGUGAUGUAGCAUUCCUCACAAAGGUCAAAUCCAAUGACUUAUGUGUAAUCCGUGUAUUUGUAUCGCUUACUUCGUAUCGGAUAGAUCUGAAAGGUAUUCAUCACUUUGAUAUUACUAAAAGAAUUAAGGUAACUCAAGACAGUGGGAACUAAACCAAGGAUGCAUUGGUGCUUAUCAAUAUGUCCCAAUUGGAUUUCAAACUAAAUCAGCGUGUAAGUGGCAGGGGAGCACGUGUGUGUACCUGUGCGAUCUGCUUGGGGAAAGCAGUGUCCUCGCUGGCCAUGCAGAGGAGGGCCUGGGUGGCGGAGCUG